AUUGAACGCUGGCGGCAUGCUUUACACAUGCAAGUCGAACGGUAACAGGCCUUCGGGUGCUGACGAGUGGCGAACGGGUGAGUAAUACAUCGGAACGUGCCCAAUCGUGGGGGAUAACGCAGCGAAAGUUGCGCUAAUACCGCAUACGCCCUGAGGGGGAAAGCGGGGGACCGCAAGGCCUCGCGCGAAUGGAGCGGCCGAUGUCAGAUUAGCUAGUUGGUGGGGUAAAGGCUUACCAAGGCGACGAUCUGUAGCGGGUCUGAGAGGAUGAUCCGCCACACUGGAACUGAGACACGGUCCAGACUCCUACGGGAGGCAGCAGUGGGGAAUUUUGGACAAUGGGGGCAACCCUGAUCCAGCCAUGCCGCGUGAGUGAAGAAGGCCUCGG
rnacentral:rRNA from 1 species